rnacentral:lncRNA from 1 species
CAGGGACAGCCUCCUAAAUAAUCCUUCAGAGCCUCAUCUGAAAUUUACAGCUUCUGUCUUCAUAACCAUACUGCCAAGAAAGAAAAUAGGGAGUUAAAAAUAUAAUUACUUUGAAGCCUCUCAUUUGGAAAAACCCACUAAGAUCUUUAAGACUAUAAAAUUGGCAAGGAAAGAAUAACUUCUUUUAAAAUUCUCCUAAAUUGUUCUCCAGAACCCAUAAAAUUUUCACAAAGACUUUUUAGGUUAUUUAAAACUAAAAUGAAGAAAAUAGUAAGACUUAUUUAAAAACAUACUGUCUUAGGUCUUUAAGACUAGGAAGAAAUAUGAAUAUUUGUGGGAAAAAUAGAGAAACUCCAUGAAAAACCUUUAAAAACAAGUAUAUAUCCUGGUGAUAUAUAUUUGCACUUCUAUCUGAGGUACAUGCAGUAAACAUGAAAAAGAAAAAAAAAAACCUGCAAGCAAAAACCAAAUAAGAAAAGAUAACACAAAGAUAAUUUAUUUUAUUUCUUCUUUUUAGUUAUACAUGACAGUAGAAUGUAUUUUGACAUAUUUUACUUAUAUGGAGUACGACUUUCCAUUCUUCUGGUUGUACAUGAUGUGGAAUUACAUUGGUGAUGUAUUCAUAUAUGACAUAGGAAAGUAAUGUCCAGUUCAUUCUACUAUCUUUUUUAUUCCCAUUCUCCCUACCUUCCCUUCAUUCCCCACAAAGAGAAUGUUUUUAGUAGAAAGAAAAAGUCAAUUUAUGUAAAAAUCUCCUGAGAUGUUUGAGGGUAUAGAAUAUAUUUACCCAAUAUAGGAGAGGAGAGAUUUACCGUAAUGCUUGGGCCUGAAAAUCAAACUAGUAAAUAAAGAUAGAUUCAUAGGAAAAAAAUACAUAUUUAUUCAGUUUUAUGUAAAACAGGAGCCUUCACAAGGAAAUGAAUAAGACCCCUCAAAAAACAGUUAAACCUGAAUUUUUAAAAUUAAAUUUAUUUGUUUGUUUGUUUAAUGGGUUUAAUGAAGAAUGGAGAGUUGUGGAGAAAUACAAUAGGGAAAAAAGUAUAUAAUCCAGUGGCAAUCAGCUGAGGGACUAUUAAAAUUCUUUUAAAGAUUCUUCUUGGUUAAAAAAAAAAUUCUUCUUG